rnacentral:rRNA from 1 species
CCUACGGGAGGCAGCAGUGAGGAAUAUUGGUCAAUGGACGAGAGUCUGAACCAGCCAAGUAGCGUGAAGGAUGACUGCCCUAUGGGUUGUAAACUUCUUUUAUAUGGGAAUAAAAUGUUCCACGUGUGGGAUUUUGUAUGUACCAUAUGAAUAAGGAUCGGCUAACUCCGUGCCAGCAGCCGCGGUAAUACGGAGGAUCCGAGCGUUAUCCGGAUUUAUUGGGUUUAAAGGGAGCGUAGGUGGAUUGUUAAGUCAGUUGUGAAAGUUUGCGGCUCAACCAUAAAAUUGCAGUUGAAACUGGCAGUCUUGAGUACAGUAGAGGUGGGCGGAAUUCGUGGUGUAGCGGUGAAAUGCUUAGAUAUCACGAAGAACUCCGAUUGCGAAGGCAGUUCACUGGACUGCAACUGACACUGAGACUCGAAAGUGUGGAUAUCAAACAGGAUUAGAUACCCUAGUAGUC